AUGAACGCUGGCGGCGUGCCUAAUCCCUGCAAGUCGCGCGCACGGACGAGAAGCUUGCUUCUCUGAUGUUAGCGGCGGACGGGUGAGUAACACGUGGAUAACCUACCUAUAAGACUGGGAUAACUUCGGGAAACCGGAGCUAAUACCGGAUGAUAUUUUGAACCGCAUGGUUCAAAAGUGAAAGACGGUCUUGCUGUCACUUAUAGAUGGAUCCGCGCUGCAUUAGCUAGUUGGUAAGGUAACGGCUUACCAAGGCAACGAUGCAUAGCCGACCUGAGAGGGUGAUCGGCCACACUGGAACUGAGACACGGUCCAGACUCCUACGGGAGGCAGCAGUAGGGAAUCUUCCGCAAUGGGCGAAAGCCUGACGGAGCAACGCCGCGUGAGUGAUGAAGGUCUUCGGAUCGUAAAGCUCUGUUAUUAGGGAAGAACAUAUGUGUAAGUAACUGUGCACAUCUUGACGGUACCUAAUCAGAAAGCCACGGCUAACUACGUG
rnacentral:rRNA from 1 species